GUAGGGGGCAAGCGUUAUCCGGAUUUACUGGGUGUAAAGGGGGCGCAGACGGCCAUGGCAAGCCCGGUGUGAAAGGCAGGGGCAUCACCCCUGGACUGCACUGGGAACUGUCAGGCUGGAGUGCCGGAGGGGUAAGCGGAAUUCCUGGUGUAGCGGUGAAAUGCGUAGAUAUCAGGAGGAACACCGGCGGCGAAGGCGGCUUACUGGACGGCAACUGACGUUGAGGCCCGAAAGCGUGGGGAGCGAA
rnacentral:rRNA from 1 species